rnacentral:rRNA from 1 species
CCUACGGGCGGCAGCAGUGAGGAAUAUUGGUCAAUGGGCGUAAGCCUGAACCAGCCAAGCCGCGUGAGGGAUGAAGGUUCUAUGCAUUGUAAACUUCUUUUAUAAGGGUACAAAGUCCGGCACGAGACCCUGUCCGUAUGUACUUUAUGAAUAAGGAUCGGCUAACUCCGUGCCAGCAGCCGCGGUAAUACGGAGGAUUCGAGCGUUAUCCGGAUUUAUUGGGUUUAAAGGGUGCGUGAGCGGGCUUUUAAGUCAGCGGUGAAAAGCUCGGGGUCAAACCCAGACUUGCCGUUGAAACUGGGUGGCUUGAGAAUGUGAGAGGCAGGCGGAAUGCGUGGUGUAGCGGUGAAAUGCUUAGAUAGCACGCAGAACCCAGAUUGCGAAGGCAGCCUACCAGGCCAUGUCUGACGCUGAGGCACGAAAGCGUGGGGAUCAAACAGGAUUAGAUACCCUAGUAGUC